rnacentral:rRNA from 1 species
UAGACCGAUAGCGAACAAGUAGAGUGAUCGAAAGAUGAAAAGCACUUUGAAAAGAGAGUUAAAAAGCACGUGAAAUUGUUGAAAGGGAAGCGCUUGCGACCAGACUCGCCUACGGGGUUCAGCCGGUAUUCGUACCGGUGUACUUCCCCGUGGGCGGGCCAGCGUCGGUUUGGGCGGCCGGUCAAAGGCCCUCGGAAUGUAACGCCUCUCGGGGCGUCUUAUAGCCGAGGGUGCCAUGCGGCCAGCCCGGACCGAGGAACGCGCUUCGGCACGGACGCUGGCAUAAUGGUCGUAAGCGACCCGUCUUGAAACACGGACCAAGUA